GGCAGCAUGGCGUAGUGGUUUGAGCACUGGACUAGGACUCUGGGAGACCAGGGUUCGAAUCCCGGCUAGGUCA